rnacentral:ncRNA from 1 species
CGUAUGAUGCUGCGGCCAGCCACGCUCUGCCUGCUUAGUCGUCGGCGGCCUGUGUUUACACAGCGCACAAUCUUAACCGGGUCUUU